rnacentral:rRNA from 1 species
GACGAACGCUGGCGGCGUGCCUAAUACAUGCAAGUCGAGCGAAGUUUUUCUGGUGCUUGCACUAGAAAAACUUAGCGGCGAACGGUUGAGUAACACGUAAAGAACCUGCCUCAUAGACUGGGACAACUAUUGGAAACGAUAGCUAAUACCGGAUAACAGUAUUUCUCGCAUGAGAGAUAUUUAAAAGUUGGUUAUGCUAACACUAUGAGAUGGCUUUGCGGUGCAUUAGCUAGUUGGUGGGGUAAAGGCCCACCAAGGCGACGAUGCAUAGCCGACCUGAGAGGGUGAUCGGCCACACUGGGACUGAGACACGGCCCAGACUCCUACGGGAGGCAGCAGUAGGGAAUCUUCCGCAAUGGGCGAAAGCCUGACGGAGCAACGCCGCGUGAGUGAAGAAGGAUUUCGGUUCGUAAAGCUCUGUUGUUAGGGAAGAAUGGAUAUGUAGUAACUAUACAUGUAAGAGACGGUACCUAACCAGAAAGCCACGGCUAACUACGUG